rnacentral:rRNA from 1 species
GGCACUAGAAGUAAAGCUUUGUCUACAGCCAAACCCGAUCCCAUCUGAUCUCGGAAGCUAAGCAGGGUUUGGCCUGGUUAGUACUUGGAUGGGAGACUACCUCGGAAGACCAGGUGCUAUAGGCA